GUGAACGCAUGUGUGGAUGUAAAGGAGGGGUUGGCUGGAGAGGGUGUGGGAGGAGGACAGUUGCCUGCAGAGCUGUGUGGGGUCUACACAGCCAUGUACCUCCUUUGGAGGGUAUCGAGUACAAGUAAUUUGGUUGCCAGUAAGAGAAACAAACCCAAAGAGGAACGUUUGUGCCAAAAACAAGCACUUUAUUGUGAGCAUACAAAGGCAAGAAAUGCAGAAUGGCUUCAGGCACACAAACCGGGAGCUGGGAGGGUUUUAAAAACCAAGCCCUGCACUCUCUCCCUCUUAUCUUUUGUCCCUGCCUCUCCGCACAUCUGCUGACUUCUCCCUCUGCAGGCAGGUUUUCUCUACUCCACAGAAUCCACGGUGGUGGCAGGGCACCCACAGCUCCGUGCCGGGAGACAGGGGUCCUGCCUGCUGGGGAAGAGACUCAGGGCCCAUGCCUGUGCGAACCCAUGCGGGACAGGGUGGGGAUGGCCAUGUGUGCAGCCUGCUGUGGGCAGGAGGGAAACUAAGGGGGUCCUUGACUUGCUCCCCUCCCUUAGCUGGCAGCUCAAGUGGUCUUGGUCACUUCUUGUCUUUUGGCUGCACCAGAGCCUGUGGCUUCCCCGCACCAGCACAUCUCCUCCUCUCUAGCUCCACCGAUGAGAUAGGAGGAAAGUGCAAGCCCUUGACUGAGAAGCAUCCCUAUGAGUGAGGUGCUUGCUGCCCAGUCUGAUGCAAAACCCUGAGACCGUGGGUCCCAGAGGCCAGAGGCACUGGAAUAUGGUGAGGAAAUCGUGGGAGGAGACCUCAGGGAGAAACCAGGAGGGUUUGUCUUAAGACCUUCAAAUAGGAGCACUUGUGGGACUCACUGGGCUUGGGAGACACUGAGAACUGCAGCCCCAACAGAGGAGCGGGAGUCACUCCACGGAGCUCCCAGAGAACCAGGGCCAUCACAAUGGUCCAGGGAUGGGGUCACUCCAAUGGCAUCUGAAUUUUUUUUUUUUUUUUGAGACAGAGUCUCGUGUCACCCAGGCUGGAGUUCAGUAGAUGAUCUUGGCUCAUUGCAACCUCUGCCUUCCAGGUUCAAGCAAUUCUCUUGCCUCAGACUCCUGAGUAGCUGGAACUACAGGCGCGUGUCACCACACAAGCCUUUUUUUUUUUUUUUUUUUUUUUUUUUUUUUUUUUAGUAGAGACAGGGUUUCACCAUGUUGGCCAGGCUGGUCUCAAACUCCUGACCUCAAGUGAUCCACCCACGUCAGUCUCCCAAAGUCCUGGGAUUACAGGCACGAACCGCUGCGCCUGGCUAAUUUUGUGUGUGUGUGUACACACACACACACACACACACACACACACACAUAUAAUUUUUUUUUUUAGAAGAGAUGGGGUUUUGCCAUGUUGGGCAGGCUGGCUUCAAACUCCUGACCCCGUGAUCCGCCCACCUCGACCUCCCAAAGUGCUGGGAUUACAGGCAUGAGCCACUGCGCCUGGCUAAUUUUUUUUGUGUGUAUGUGUAUAUAUAUAUAUAUAUAUAUACACAUACACGCGCACACACACACACACACACACACACACACACACACAUAUAUAUAAUUUUUUUUUAAGAAGAGAUGGGUUUUGCCAUGUUGGCCAGGCUGGUCUCAAACUCCUGACCCCGUGAUCCACCCACCUCGACCUCCCAAAGUGCUGGGAUUAUGGGCAUGAGCCACCACACCCAGCGCAUCUGAACUCUUGGAAUGACCACAGGGUGGAACUCGGCAAAACCAAGGAGGUUUGGUGCAGGUGGGGGAGCAGGGACACGAAGUCUGAGCGCAAGGGCCUAGAACAUUCUAUAAGAAACUACUGUGUAGAGAAGGGAAGGAAACAAUCUGAAGGGCAGAUGGCCAGUGCCCUUCUGGACAGCCAGAAAUGGCCACUAUGGGUUCAGAUUCUCUGCCUCUCUGACGGUGGGCAGGCUGGAAAUGGUGUGCCUAACGUACAGUGCCAACACAGUACAACGCCUCCAGCAGAAGGAAUCCCGGGCCACAGAACGGGAAAGAGGAUCCAGGUGCCUCUCCUGGCCCUGCCGGUGGGAUGCUCAGCCAUGUAUCCCACCCUAGACAGUUCUGGGUUUUUUUUGUUUUUGUUUUUUUUGAGACAGAGUCUCACUUUGUUGCCCAGGCUGGAGUGCACUGGCUUGAUCUGGGCUCACUGUAGUCUCUGUCACCCAGGUUCAAGUGAUUAUCCUGUCUCAGCCUCCUAAGUAGCUGGGAUUACUGGCACCCACCACGAUGCCAAGUUAAUUUUUUGUAUCUUUAGUAGACAUGGGGUCUCACCAUGUUGACCAGGCUGGUCUUGAACUCCUGACAUCAAGUGAUCUGCCCGCCUCGGCCUCCCAAAGUGUGGUCUUUACCUUUGACACAUACACAGAGUCAAAUGACUUUCAUUGUUUUGAAGUUUGCAGCUGUCAGGGUAGGAAGAUUGCUGCAAACAAUAGGAGAGUAAAAACUGAAUGAGGCUCUUAAAAUAAUGAGGUAUGGUUUGCUGUAUUUCAGAAUCAGCAAUGAUGAACACAUGCUAUAUGCUGGGCAGGAUGUCAGCAUGGAUGUUUCUCAUCCCCAGGUGCCAACAGCAUCUCCUUGACAAGCGCCCAAGUCCCUGCUUCCUCUGGAGGACAAGCUCAGGCAUCACGAUGGGAGCAUCUCCGAGGCUCCAUGGAGACACCUGACCGUGGACAGCCAGGCGCCUGGAGAAGGUGCUCAACAUGGAGCAUCAGCCUACACAGAGGAUUCUUUCUCUGCAGGGUUUGUUCUGUGGCUAAAGGAGGGUAUAGAAAAUUAACAAUACACAGGUGGCACAGGGGAAGAGUGAGCCUUAAGCCAAUGAAAAUUCAAGAUAUGGGAGCAAAUGGGCUUACAGGAGCAUAUUUUGAAGGUAAUUAAUAAGUAUAGGGAGUACUUUGAGGGCAUAGGAAACUGAGUAAAGAUGAAAAUGUGGGCUGGGCAUGGUGGCUCACGCCUGUAAUCCCAGCACUUUCGGAGGCUGAAGUGGGAGGAUUGCGUGAGGCCAGAAUUGUAAGACCAGCCUGGGCAACACAGCAAGAUCCCUGUCUCUAGAAAAAAAAAUAUUUAAAAAUUAGUUGGGUGUAUUGCCAUGCACCUGUAGUCUCAGCUACUUGGGAGGCUGAGUUGGGAGGAUCAUUUGAGCCUAGGAGUUUGGAGGCUGCAGUGAGUUAUGAUUGUGCCACUGCACUCCAGCCUGGGCCACAGAGUGAGAUCUGUUUCAAAAAAACAACAAAAGGAAACUGUGGUUCCCCUUUUUAAAUCAGGCUUAAGUCAGUUCGUAGUGGAAAGAGGCCCAGUGUCUUCUAGGCAGUGACUUAGACACUGACACACCUAGCAAACUCGAUCAAUAGAAGGCUCAGGGCAGCCAACUCUGGCAGCGUGUCCCACUCUGUUCCCAAGAGAAAACGGCCUUAUCUGGGCCAAGGGGUCGUGCUAUCGUCAGACCAGCUGUCCAGAGCCUCAGUCUCGCUUUGCUCCAAUUCCCCAUCGGCUCUUCCCUAGUAUUUCAAUCCUGGGAGAGACGGGAUAAUUUUCACGCCUUGGAUAGGGCAUGAAAGCACCAGCCAUUGGAAAAAGGGCUCUCUAUGGCAAUUCACAACUGCUGACGAAUGCACCAACCCGGUGGGGCUGAACUCCUGUGAGCUGCCCCCGGGAGUCUGAGUAUCUCUAGAUGGAAAGAAAGGGAUGCCAGCACUGGGAGGACCAAGGGUGCAGCCUUGACCAG
rnacentral:lncRNA from 10 species